UUGGGUGGCUGUGAGUUCUGGAACAGGAGCAGCGCGAAAGAAACAAAACCAAGGCAGCAGACAUAACAACACCGUCAGUUAUUCACAACAUCCACGAUGGUUGGGGUCACCCCGCCCUCGGCUGCAGCAGACUCCGACUCUGCCUAUUCUCAGGCUCUGUCAAGGAGAUGUACGCCGGCUGUGCAGCCCUGCCACGGCUCACGCAGUGCACAGAAGGAGCAGGCAGCGUUAGCGAAGGAGAACCCUGGCCUUGCAUCUGUUUACAAAUGUCCUACCAGCUGUGCACAAAAGGUAUUUUGUUGAAGGUGGAAAAUGCCUCAAAAUCCACACCUACUGAGCAUUCAAUGCCCAAAGUGAUUGUGCAGCAGACCAGAGGUGCAUCUCCCAUGGAAGACAGUGAUGUGACAGAACAGGAUAUCGAAAAAAAGCCAAAAUAUUGAGGAUGGAGUCACCUUGCUGUAUUUUUCCUCCAUCCGUCUGUUCUACCUCUCCAGCUUGCUGAGAACUGCCCUUUAGCAAGUGUUUGCAUUGCCACAUAGUGUACACACAGUGCUCCCACGAAGGAUGAAAGGUUUCAAGUGCACAGGUGAAGGUGCAUACAGGAGAAAAUGCAUUACCAACCUGUCUGUUUGCUGCCUGACAGCUGCUUCUUUUGAGGCCAUGGGGGACGGAGGCUCACAGUGAUACUCAGGCCUCCUGCAUGAGGUACUGCUUGGUCUCCAAAUACAACAGGAGUGUCCUG
rnacentral:lncRNA from 1 species